rnacentral:rRNA from 1 species
UACAGAGGGUGCAAGCGUUGUUCGGAAUUACUGGGCGUAAAGCGUGCGUAGUCGGUAUUGAGAGUCGCGGGUGAAAUCCCAGGGCUUAACCCUGGAACUGCCUGCGAGACCUCAGUACUAGAGUGUGAGAGGGGAUAGUGGAAUACCCAGUGUAGCGGUGAAAUGCGUAGAGAUUGGGUAGAACACCGGUGGCGAAGGCGGCUAUCUGGCUCACAACUGACGAUCAGGCACGAAAGCGUGGGGAGCAAACAGGAUUAGAUACCCUGGUAGUCCACGCCGUAAACUAUGCACACAAGCUGUAGUGGGGUUUUACUCCUGCUGUGGCGAAGCUAACGCAAUUAGUGUGCCGCCUGGGGAGUACGGUCGCAAGACUAAA